CCGCGUGAGGGAGGAAGGCUCUUGGUCGUAAACCUCUUUUCUCAGGGAAGAAGCAAUGACGGUACCUGAGGAAUCAGCAUCGGCUAACUCCGUGCCAGCAGCCGCGGUAAUACGGAGGAUGCAAGCGUUAUCCGGAAUGAUUGGGCGUAAAGCGUCCGCAGGUGGCACAUCAAGUCUGCUGUCAAAGCCCCCAGCUUAACUGGGAAGAGGCGGUGGAAACUGGUGAGCUAGAGAGCAAUAGGGGUAGAGGGAAUUCCCGGUGUAGCCGGUGAAAUGCGUAGAGAUCGGGAAGAACACCAGUGANGAAAGCGCGUCUACUAGGUUGCAACUGAUUAANCNGGGGGGAAGCUAGGUACC
rnacentral:rRNA from 1 species